rnacentral:rRNA from 1 species
CAGCACCUCAAGUGGUCAGGAUGAUUAUUGGGCCUAAAGCAUCCGUAGCCGGCUCUGUAAGUUUUCGGUUAAAUCUGUAUGCUCAACAUACAGGCUGCCGGGAAUACUGCAGAGCUAGGGAGUGGGAGAGGUAGACGGUACUCGGUAGGAAGGGGUAAAAUCCUUUGAUCUAUUGAUGACCACCUGUGGCGAAGACGGUCUACCAGAACACGUCCGACGGUGAGGGAUGAAAGCUGGGGGAGCAAACCGGAUUAGAUACCCGAGUAGUCC